CUUUAUUGAUGACCUCUCAUUUGUGCCCACUGUGUCUGGGUCAUAGAAGCCCUUGAUGGAACCUAAGAGAUAAAA
ensembl:snoRNA